rnacentral:rRNA from 1 species
GACCAGACUCCUACGGGAGGCAGCAGUGAGGAAUAUUGGUCAAUGGGCGAGAGCCUGAACCAGCCAAGUCGCGUGAGGGAAGACGGUCCUAUGGAUUGUAAACCUCUUUUGCCGGGGAGCAAAAAGCGGUACGUGUACCGCAUCGAGAGUACCCGGAGAAAAAGCAUCGGCUAACUCCGUGCCAGCAGCCGCGGUAAUACGGAGGAUGCGAGCGUUAUCCGGAUUUAUUGGGUUUAAAGGGUGCGCAGGCGGCGAGUUAAGUCGGCGGUAAAAUUUCGGGGCUCAACCCCGGCCUGCCGUUGAAACUGGCGGCCUCGAGUGGGCGAGAAGUAUGCGGAAUGCGUGGUGUAGCGGUGAAAUGCAUAGAUAUCGCGCAGAACUCCGAUUGCGAAGGUAGCAUGCCGGCUCCACACUGACGCUGAGGCACGAAAGCGUGGGUAUCGAACAGGAUUAGAUACCCCCGUA